rnacentral:rRNA from 1 species
GAUGAACGCUGGCGGCGUGCCUAAUACAUGCAAGUCGAGCGAACAGACGAGGAGCUUGCUCCUUUGACGUUAGCGGCGGACGGGUGAGUAACACGUGGAUAACCUACCUAUCAGACUGGGAUAACUUCGGGAAACCGGAGCUAAUCCCGGAUAACAUGUUGAACCGCAUGGUUCAACAGUGAAAUACGGUCUUGCUGUCACUUAUCGAUGGAUCCGCGCCGGAUUAGCUAGUUGGUAAGGUAACGGCUUACCAAGGCAACGAUGCGUAGCCGACCGGAUAGGGUGAUCGGCCACACUGGGACUGAGACACGCUCCAGAGUCCUACGGGAGCCAGCAGGAGUGAUUCGGGCGGAAGGGGCGAAAGCCUGAGGGAGCAACGCCGCGGGAUGGAAGAGGGUCGUCGGAUGGGAAAAGUCGGUUAUUAGGGUGUAACAAGUGUGUAAGUAAGUAGGCGCGUCUGGACGGUAACUAAGCAGAGAGGCACGGCUAACUUAGGU